rnacentral:lncRNA from 1 species
UUCUUGGCCCAGAGAACCAAGAAUUCCUUGGAAGCAAGAGGCAGUUUGAAUCCUUCCGGGAACACUGCAGCGCCCAGAGGGCGCCCUCACCUCGAGCCGGGGCCUCAGGUGGGCGAAGUGGAACGGGGGCGUGGUCUCGAGGGUGGGUCCUAGGGCGUGGCGCUGGCCCGGAGGUUUGGAGCGCAGAAGGCUGAGCGCGCCAGUAUUCGCUUGGCGAUCCGAUCCAGCGCUCUUUCAUGCGCCCUGCAGGCACAGGCUCCAGACUGUUGGAAAAGCCUGCUGGGACAUGUCAUCAUCGCUGGAUGCCUGGGGCUCGAUAGAAACUUGGCAGCACAAUAGCCCCUCUGAGCAAGUACAGGAUGUCACCAGGAAUCAGAGCCUCCACAGAUUCAGACUUCCUGUGAUUCUAAAUGGUAAAAUGAAGUCUGAAUGUUUUUCUUUUUCUUUUUAAAAUUUUAUUUAUUUAUUUAUUUAUUUAUUUAUUUAUUUAUUUUUAUUUACUUUACAUAUUGCUCAUGGCUCUCCUCCAUCACCCCCUUCCACAAUCCUUCUCCCUCUCUCCUCUCCCCUUCUCCUCUGAGAGGAUAGAGGUACCUCAUGGAUACCCCCCACCCACCUUGGCACAAGUCUCUGCUAGGUACAUCCUCUCUCACGGACACCAGACAGGGCAGCCCAGCUAGAAAGAAGUACAUAUCCCACAGACAGGCAACAGCUUUUGGGAUAAGCCCUUUGAGACCCUCAUGAAGACCAAGCUGCACAUCUGCUACACAUGUGUGUGGGGAGCAGUGGCUAGGUCCAGCACAUGUAUGCUCUGUGGUUGGAGGUUCAGACUCUGAGCCCAAGGGACAGACCAGGUUAGGUCAUCCUGUGGAGUUCCUAUUCCCUUCGGGGCCUGUAGUCCAUCCUCCAAUUCUUCCAUAAGUGUCCCCAAGCUCCUUCCACUGUUUGGCUCUGGGUCUCUCUAUCCCCUGUCUGAGUUUGCUGCUGGGUGGAGCCUCUCAAAGGACAGGGGUGCUAGACUCCUGCCGGGUAUGUCCCUUUGGGUCCACGUUACCUCACGCAGGAUGAUGAUUCUCAAGUUCCAUCCAUUCGCCUUCUUAAUGUUAUGCUAUAUCCAGAGUGACCGGUUAUCUAUUUAUUUCACUUUGUCCUAUUAGUAGUAACAAAUUACUUCCUAAUGUACUAUUUUCAAGUGGCAUUGUUUAUUUUGAUGUCAGAAAUUUACUUCAAGCCAGGCAUCAGGGUCCAUGCUUGCAGUCCCAGACAGUAUUUGGGAAGCUGACUAAAGCAGGAAGAUCAUCAGUAGUCAAGGGCAACCUGUCCCCCAAACAAUGACAACUUCUACCCCCACUCUCCACUGCCACCGCACAUACACACACUAGCACCCUUCAGUACUGCUUCAGAUCUUGUGUGGGUAAAAUGAAUGACCUUUGACCUUUUUUUUUUUGAAGUAGACCCUUAGUUACAGAGCCAACUGUUUUGUUUUAGUUUUGCUUGUUUGUUUUUUGAAUCGGUCCCAUUAUGUACCCUUGGCUGGCCAAGAACUCACACCUGCCUCUGACUCCUGAGUGCUGGGAUUAAAAGCUUAUAAUAUAUUGAGUUUAUAGAAUUGUUCUUAGACAAACAAGCAAACCACACAGUGGGGGUUGGGAGGGCUGGAGAGAAGGCUCAGUACUUAAAGGAGUUUGCUGCUUUUGCAAAGGACUGAUGGUCGUUUCCCAACACCUACAUUGGGUGGUUCAUAACUGUGUAUAACUCUAGCUCAGGGAAUCUGAUGCCAUUGCCUUUGUGGGCACCUGUACUCCUGUGGACAUGCCCCCUAUACACAAAGUUAAAAAUAAAAUAAGUCUUUUUAAAAUGGGGCAAGGAUUUAGUUCCAUUAGUGAAGUGCUAAGAACCCGAGUUCAAUCCCCAGAAUCCAUGACCAGAAAAGAAAAAGAAAAAAAAAAAGCUGGUGUGGUUGCGGAGUUUGCCAUCUCAGUGCUGAGGGGCAGAUAAAGUCAGGACGGGGGGUGGCGGGGCACUGGCUGGCUAGCCAGCCUGCCGUACUUGGUCACCUGUAGGCCAAUGAGAGACCCUGUUGCAAAAAGUAAGAAAGCAACUGAGAAACAGUACAUAUAUAUGGCAUGUGUGUGUUCACCCUUCCACAUGUGUCUGAGUACCACACAUGUUAUCUGAUG